UACAGAGGGUGCGAGCGUUAAUCGGAAUUACUGGGCGUAAAGCGUGCGUAGACGGUAGCGUAAGUCAGAUGUGAAAGCCCUGGGCUCAACCCAGGAAGUGCACUCGAAACUGUCAGGCUUGAAUAUGGAAGAGGGUCGCGGAAUUCCCGGUGUAGAGGUGAAAUUCGUAGAUAUCGGGAGGAACACCAGUGGCGAAGGCGGCGACCUGGGCCAAUAUUGACGCUGAGGUGCGAAAGCGUGGGGAGCAAACAGG
rnacentral:rRNA from 1 species